rnacentral:rRNA from 1 species
CAUGCAGUCGAACGGCAGCACAGGAGAGCUUGCUCUCUGGGUGGCGAGUGGCGGACGGGUGAGGAAUACAUCGGAAUCUACUUUUUCGUGGGGGAUAACGUAGGGAAACUUACGCUAAUACCGCAUACGACCUACGGGUGAAAGCAGGGGAUCUUCGGACCUUGCGCGAUUGAAUGAGCCGAUGUCGGAUUAGCUAGUUGGCGGGGUAAAGGCCCACCAAGGCGACGAUCCGUAGCUGGUCUGAGAGGAUGAUCAGCCACACUGGAACUGAGACACGGUCCAGACUCCUACGGGAGGCAGCAGUGGGGAAUAUUGGACAAUGGGCGCAAGCCUGAUCCAGCCAUACCGCGUGGGUGAAGAAGGCCUUCGGGUUGUAAAGCCCUUUUGUUGGGAAAGAAAUCCAGCUGGCUAAUACCCGGUUGGGAUGACGGUACCCAAAGAAUAAGCACCGGCUAACUUCGUGCCAGCAGCCGCGGUAAUACGAAGGGUGCAAGCGUUACUCGGAAUUACUGGGCGUAAAGCGUGCGUAGGUGGUCGUUUAAGUCCGUUGUGAAAGCCCUGGGCUCAACCUGGGAACUGCAGUGGAUACUGGGCGACUAGAGUGUGGUAGAGGGUAGCGGAAUUCCUGGUGUAGCAGUGAAAUGCGUAGAGAUCAGGAGGAACAUCCAUGGCGAAGGCAGCUACCUGGACCAACACUGAC